ACUUCAGCCGAGCUCCUACAGUGGACGGAUCCCAAACGAGUUUCUACGAUGGGAUAGGCUCCACCGGUCAGGUCACUACUCCGAGCUCCCAUGACAACAGAUCUUCGAUCGAGCUUCUACAAUAAGCGAUCUCCUUUCAGCCUUCUACAAGAAUCGGACUCCAUCCGAACUUUCAUAGCAUAUGGAUAUUGGACGAACUUCUACGACGGACGGGCUCCAGCAGCUGGAUUUCUGCAACGAUCGACCAUCUCCAGUGUCUGUCGAACCUCUCCAGCCCUCAAUUUUCAAUAGCGUCAGUCAGACUUCAACAACGCCAAUCGAACUCCCACAGGAUUCUCCAGGCUCCUCCAGCGGACGAACUUCCACAAC
rnacentral:lncRNA from 1 species